CACACACACACACACACACACACACACACACACCCACCUCUGUGGGAAAGAGUCAACCAUGAGAGUUUUGUCGACAGCAAUUGUCCAUUUGGCAAAACAAAUAUCCGUCUCAAAGCCGUAUUUUACCGUUGCAGAAAACAGAAGGCGUUCACAAGAAGGCCCACACACACACACACACACACACACACACACACACACACCCACACCCCGCGAGGCAAGGAGGAGUUUUUUUCUUCAUUACUUUUUACAAUAAGUUUUCUCAAUAGAUAGAAAAUGAUGACGCUGAGGAGUCAGCAUCCGAUAUUAUCAUUGCUUGUAACCCUGUUUUUUACAUCUCCCCAUAAAACUAGUCUUAGCGAGGAAAAAAAAUCUAAUUAUUCGAAUAAGUUUAUUAAAGCACCCCCUCUGUGGGAACGAGUCAACCAUGAGCCGAGUUUUGUCAACAGCAAGAACAAGGUCAGACAGCAAUUGUCCAUUUGGUAAAACAAAUACCCGUCUCAAAGCCAUAUUUUACCGUUGCGGAAUGGGGGAAAACAGACGGCGUUCGCAAGAAGGCAAUCAAAAAAAAAACAAACCCCCUCUAACUACCGGUAUUGUCAAGAGAAAGAUGCGAAAAACAGAUGCUUCGCUAGACUAGGAUAAAAUGAGAGAAGAAGCGGAAGGGGAGUCGCUAUCUGUGACAGUUCUACCAAUCGCGAGGAAGAAUCCGAGAAUAUUAUGUCAGCAUCCCGUUCAAACAACGCCGCCGAUCAGAGGGCCAUCUCGCCGGAUCUGUUCAUACCUCACCCCGGUAAGUUUUUUUCUUUACGACUUUAAAUUAUAUAUCAACAGAGAUGUCAAUAAUUUGAUUACUUUCUUUUAGAUUUCUACAUCAAUGAUUUCACGCAAGUGGACUACGGUACGUUUAAAUAAGUAUAUACCAUUUUUUAAACAAGUUUAGAUAGACUUGAUUUAACCAUGCUCUGAUACUUACAGAAACAAUCGAUAAUGCAGUGAGUAACAGCAGAAAUCCGGCCGUUUUCCACGGCGAAUUAGAAGCCAUAUCCCCCGCAGAAUCUCCGCUGCCGCCGCAUCGAAGAGAAGACGGCACUAUUUCCGUCUCCGCAUACCGGGAGAACCGCGGAGAAAAAAGUUUUAAAAUCGAAGGUAAACAAUAUGAUGCAUUAUCAGCCAUUUUGUUGAAUAACAGGAUGUGACGGAGUAAUCCGAGUGUGCUAUACCGCCCCUCCCGACCCGGAGCAGAUUUUUAAAAAAGUUUUGCUUUAUUUCUCGACAGAGGUAACCGAGAAUAUACAGACCCCGCCGCAGCGAAAAGAAGAAGAAGACGACGACGACGUUAUUUUCGUCAACGCAUACCGGGAGAACUGCAGGAAAAUACCUUUUAAACCAAAAGGUAAACAAUAUGAUGCAAUAUCCGUCAUUUCGAUAAAUAUCAGGAUGUGGCGGAGUAAUCCGAGUGUGCUAUACCGCCCCUCCCGACUUGGAGUGGUAUAAAGCGAGCUAAAAAGUUUUUUUUUUUUUUUUUUUUUUUUAUUAAAUCUUUCUCUUUUCUGUUUUAUUUCUCGGCAGCCGAGAUUGCGGAUAUACCUAUUCAACCCCCCUCCGCUACAGACAAUUGCGCGGAGGAGCGAGGUAAAUAAAAAAGUUUUUUCAUUCUCGAAAAAUAGGAAAGAGGAGGUUGUUUUCUUAAAUCUCUUCUGUUUUAUUUCUCGGCAGCCGAGAUUGCGGAUUUACCUAACCAAUCCCCCGCCGCUACAGACAAUCGGGCGGAGGAGCGAGGUAAAUAAAAAAGUUUUUUCAUUCUCGAAAAAUAGGAAGGAUGAGAUUGUUUUCUUAAAUCUCUUCUGUUUUAUUUUCCCCGACAGAGACCGAUACAGAAAAUCAGACUGAAGAAAAUCAGGUUGAGGAGGAACCGUCCAGAUUGCCUCCUAUCAGGAGAGUGAGAGCUCCUCUCGGAAGACUGAGAGGUAAUUGACGGGGGGAUGAAUCGAACCUAUUAAACUUCUCUGCUCUAUAAAAAAUGUAAGGUUUAAAAAAUACAUUCUGUCCGUCUUUUCUUACAGCUCGACGGAUGCUUCAUAAGAAGAGAAUCCUUGAAAAACUCGCUUUCAUG
ensembl:lncRNA